rnacentral:rRNA from 1 species
AUUGAACGCUGGCGGCAGGCUUAACACAUGCAAGUCGAGCGGGGUGAUGGUGCUUGCACUAUCACUUAGCGGCGGACGGGUGAGUAAUGCUUAUGAAUCUGCCUAUUAGUGGGGGACAACAUCUCGAAAGGGAUGCUAAUACCGCAUACGUCCUACGGGAGAAAGCAGGGGAUCACUUGUGACUUUGCGCGCAUAGAUGAGCCUAAGUCGGAUUAGCUAGUUGGUGGGGUAAAGGCCUACCAAGGCGACGAUCUGUAGCGGGUCUGAGAGGAUGAUCCGCCACACUGGGACUGAGACACGGCCCAGACUCCUACGGGAGGCAGCAGUGGGGAAUAUUGGACAAUGGGGGGAACCCUGAUCCAGCCAUGCCGCGUGUGUGAAGAAGGCCUUAUGGUUGUAAAGCACUUUAAGCGAGGAGGAGGCUCUUUUGGUUAAUACCCAAGAUGAGUGGACGUUACUCGCAGAAUAAGCACCGGCUAACUCUGUGCCAGCCGCCGCGGUAA